rnacentral:tRNA from 1 species
GCGGAUAUAAUUGAAUGGUAAAAUUUAUCUUUGCCAAGGAUAAGGUGUGGGUUCGAUUCCCACUAUCCACU